GCCCGAGUCCUGAGCAUCCCCACUCCUGGCCGCGGGGUUCGGACCCCAGCUUGGCCAACUGCGCUAUCCCUUCCCGAGAGCCCCACGUCCGCACAGCCGGUCGCUGGGCCUCGCCUGCGUCCUUUCGGGGGUCAGGGUCAGAGCCACUCCCUCCUGGGGCUCCCUAGGGCGGGAAGGAGGAGGGGUCGCUUCCAAACACCUUGGAGGGGAACCACGGGGCGCCUGCCCGCCAGGAGCGCUUGCCACACCCUGCAACAGCCGGACCAGAAUUGAUGAGGCUUCUGAUAGUCGCCACGCUGAGUUUACGGUCUAAUUGUCGAGAUUAAUGAUGUUUUGCAGCAGUUUUCUACGUCUGAAAUUUUUUAUGUCUCUGGAACCCAGAAUUUGCUAAGAGAUGGAGGAACCUCAGAAAAGCUAUGUGAACACAAUGGACCUUGAGAGAGAUGAACCUCUCAAAAGCACCGGCCCUCAGAUUUCUGUUAGUGAAUUUUCUUGCCACUGCUGCUACGACAUCCUGGUUAACCCCACCACCUUGAACUGUGGGCACAGCUUCUGCCGUCACUGCCUUGCUUUAUGGUGGGCAUCUUCAAAGAAAACAGAAUGUCCAGAAUGCAGAGAAAAAUGGGAAGGUUUCCCCAAAGUCAGUAUUCUCCUCAGGGAUGCCAUUGAAAAGUUAUUUCCUGAUGCCAUUAGACUGAGAUUUGAAGACAUUCAGCAGAAUA
rnacentral:lncRNA from 1 species